UUAAAAAUAAAAUAAUAUUAAUAAUAGUUAAUUAGUAUUGAAAAAUAAAGUUGAAAUAAUUUGAAAUAUUUAUAAAUUUAAAAGAAAUUUUAAUUAAGUGUACCUUGUGUCUCAGGGUUUAUCUAAUAAAAAAUAUUUAAUUAUUUUUCUCGAGUUAAAGAGAUCUAAAAAUUUAAUUUAAUUAAUGUGGAAUAAUUAUUAAUAAUAAAUUUUUUGAAAUGAAACGUUAUCGUUCUUUAAGAUAUCUAGUUUUUUAAGAAAUAAAUUUAAUUUAUAUUUAUUUAAUUUUAUUAUUUAAUUUUUAAUUAAUAAUUUUUAUAAAUAAGUAUUUUAAGGGAUAAGCUUUAAAAUAAAGAUUUAAAAAUUAAUUUUUAUAAUUAAUAAAUAUAAGCUUAGAAUUAGUUAUUAAUAAAAAUUAUGUUAUAAUUUAUUUUUAAAAUAAAUAUAAUUUUAUUUUAGUUUUAAAUUUUUUAUUAAAAUAUUAAUUUUAAUUUUAAAAAUUAAAUAAUAAUGAUAAAAUUAGUAUAAUUUUUUAUAUAAAUAAAAAUUUUUGAUAGAUUUUUAUAAUAAAUUCGGCAAAAAUAUUAUAUUCGCCUGUUUAUCAAAAACAUGUCUUUUUGAAAUUUAUUUAAAGUCCGACCUGCCCAUUGAAAUUUUUUAAAAGGCUGCGGUAUUUUGACCGUACAAAGGUAGCAUAAUCAUUAGUUUUUUAAUUGAAAACUUGUAUGAAUGGUUUUACGAAAUAUAAGCUGUAUCAUAAAAAAUUUAUUAGAAAUUAAUUUUUUAGUAAAAAAGCUAAAAUGAAAUUGAAAGACGAGAAGACCCUAUAGAGUUUUAUAUAAUUUUAAAAAUAAUUUAUUUAUAAAAUUUAAUUUUUUUUUUUAGAUUAUAUUUUGUUGGGGUGACAAUAAAAUUUUAUAAUCUUUUAUUAUUUUUUAACAAAGAUUUUUGAAUAAUUGAUCCAUUUUUAGUGAUUAAAAGAUUAAAUUACCUUAGGGAUAACAGCGUAAUUUUUUUGUAGAGUUCUUAUCGAUAAAAAUUUUUGCGACCUCGAUGUUGGAUUAAGAAUAAUUUUAGGUGUAGAAGCUUAUUAAUUAGGUCUGUUCGACCUUUAAUUUCUUACAUGAUCUGAGUUCAAACCGGUGUAAGCCAGGUUGGUUUCUAUCUUUAAUAAAUGAAUAUAUUUUAGUACGAAAGGACCAAUUAUAUAAAAUAUUAAUUUUUAUUUUUAGAAUUUAAUUAAUUUAUAUAA
rnacentral:rRNA from 1 species